GAGUUUGAUCCUGGCUCAGAAUCAACGCUGGCGGCGUGCCUAACACAUGCAAGUCGAACGAGAAAGGGCUUUCGGGCCUGAGUAAAGUGGCGCACGGGUGAGUAACACGUGACUAACCUACCCUUGAGCGGGGGAUAACCUAGGGAAACCUGGGCUAAUACCGCAUAACACCUACGGGUCAAAGCGAGCAAUCGCACUUAAGGAGGGGGUCGCGGCAGAUUAGCUAGUUGGUGAGGUAAUGGCUCACCAAGGCGAUGAUCUGUAUCCGGCCUGAGAGGGCGCACGGACACACUGGAACUGAAACACGGUCCAGACUCCUACGGGAGGCAGCAGUGGGGAAUUUUGCGCAAUGGGGGAAACCCUGACGCAGCAACGCCGCGUGGAGGAUGAAGUCCCUUGGGACGUAAACCCCUUUCGAUCGGGACGAUUAUGACGGUACCGGAAGAAGAAGCCCCGGCUAACUUCGUGCCAGCAGCCGCGGUAAUACG
rnacentral:rRNA from 1 species